CGUAAUUGUCUAUCAUCGAAUUGAAAAUACGAACCAGUUGUUGUGUAUAAAAGGAGCAUCGAAGCGGAUUCCUGAUCAAUCUGUCUACAUCAUGGAAGUAACUAAACUGAAACUCGGCGUUGAGGUCCAUGGUUUAAAGCUGAAAGAUGAAGAAAGCUUUACAGACGAAUUCAUUGAAGAAAUCAAGAAGCUUGUUCAUGAAGAGCGUAUUGUGAUUUUCAAAGAUCAGGGUGAAAUAAGCGGACAGAAGCAAGAACAGAUCAGUAAAUGGUUCGGGGAUCUUGAUGGUACAGUUUUUAAAGGUGAUCCACUUUUUGCUCACAAGAAGUGCCCACACCCAAGCGUUCACAGGAUAUCAAACGACCCAGAAGAAGGAUGUACGAACGCUGGGCGUUCCGGAUGGCACAUUGAUGGAGUAUUUGUUGAAGCACCAUAUAGCUACGCUAUAUACCACAUGCUUUCCGUGCCGAAAAAAGGCGCCACAGAAUUUGUUGGUUUCAAAGAGCUGCUAGACAGUAUACCAAAUGACAAAAGGGAGAAAUGGGACAGACUGUGGAUGGUCAAUGAUAAAGGAGAUAAACUGGUCCAGCCUCUGGUUUAUUUACAUCCUGUCACUAGACUUCCGGUAAUGUGUAUCCAUCUUGGAAUGACGGAAGCUUUUAUCUGGGACAAAGGUACUCCGAAUGAGAGAAGAACGGAUGAAGAAGAAACUAAGGAGCUAAUUGAAGAAAUCACAAAUGAGAUCGAGAAAAACGGGAAGGAACUAGUAUACUCACAUGAGUGGAAAGAGGGCGAGUUCAUUAUCACAGAUAACUUGGCUGUAGGUCACUUUGCCAGCGCAGACUCGCAGAGACCGAGGUCAGAGGUUGGACUCCGGGUGCUACACCGUACAACCAUCAAAGGAACGUCUAAACCGAGCAAAACAGAAAAGAUAUAGAAAACAGAAACUGUUUAUUGAUUGGUGUAAUGUAAUUUCAAAAAGGGGGCUAGGCUAUUGUUUUAAAAGACUAAAUUAUUCAUUGUCUUGGAGAGUAUAAUUAUAUUCAUACUAUUGACCUUUUAGAAUUGUUGAAAUAUUAAACUGACAAGUUAGCGUAGCUCUGGGCAGGUUAAGACAUAACACCAGGAAAACUACAUCUUAAUUUGGUAAUCAACAGUCUGGCCGGUGCAUAUAAAAGGUCUAUGUACUAGACAUUCGGGGAAGGAGGCAAUGCGGCAGAGCCACCAACCGUGGUUCUGCCAACGUAAGUCAAAAUACCAUUAUGCCUCGUUAGG
rnacentral:misc_RNA from 1 species